rnacentral:lncRNA from 1 species
UCACUAGAAUGAAAAUAAAUGUAUACAAAAGUGAAUAAACCCAUAAUAGCAAGAUAAUAGGAGUAAGGGCCAACAGUGAACUAAGGCUAUUAAUACAAUUCUGGCAGACAAAAAGCAGAUGUGUGUGGUGACAAGGGAGACAAAGCAGAAAUAACUACAAGCCAGAAUAACAGAGACUCUGUUUAAAAAGCCAUAUCUGGGGCAAUUUUCUGGGGGCUCCAGGAAGAGGCGCCGCAUAGCGUCAGCAAGGACUCAAAAGGAGCACUUCCCAGUGAAGCAAAAGAGUGGCGUAAUAAUUGGAGAACCCUCACGACGUGUCAGCCCCACCACGGCCCCAUAAAUGUAGCAUGAGUGCGAGCUUGAAAUUUGUAACAUGAGAUGAAAACUGGAGAAGCAUCCCUAAAAUAUAUGAACCAAUCUGCCUAGAAAUAGCUAGGAAUCUGCCACCAGAAAGAUGAAUAAAAUAAAAGAUUGAAGAAGUAGCAAGUAGCAGUAUGGAAGACUUGUGGCUAAGUGUAUAAAUUCACAGAAGUCAGAAGCUGAAUGCAGUCACAAAGAGAGCAAAGCACUUUGUAAAGUGAACUCAAUACCCCCGUUGGGGCUCAGAAAACAGUACCCCAAAGUGAAGUCCUCAGAAGCAGCCCCAAAAGUAAAGUCUCUGACCUUCUCCUACCCUCCCAUCCUCUCUCCCUUCCUUCUCCACUGAGGCAAGAUAGAAACUAAAAUUCCUCUUCCCCAAGGAACCCCGCCUUUUUGUGUAACAGUUGGCCAUAAAGAAAUUAAGACCUUCAUUCCAGAGAGUCCUAUUGCAUGCCUGAGAGGGAGGAAGGCUGCACAGAGACGCCAAGAAGCUGGACAGUCCUUGCUGGGUUUCCCCACUCAGUCUUUAAGCAUUCGAUCAUACCCCUUCUGUCCAGUUGUAUUUUACAUGGCUGUCCAUACAUCAUUGAAUGUCAGUGUAAAAAUGGAUUGUUUUCCCUGUAUCUUUGGGUCUUUAUUCUGAAGUCUCUUUUAAAACUAUGAUCAA